UCCGAUAUGGUGUAGUGGCCAACAUGAUGCCCUCUCAUCUCAUUUGGGAGGUUAGGCAUAGCCCCGAGUUCGAUUCUCGGUUUCGGAA
rnacentral:tRNA from 1 species